rnacentral:rRNA from 1 species
AGCAUAUCAAUAAGCGGAGGAAAAGAAACCAACAGGGAUUGCCUCAGUAACGGCGAGUGAAGCGGCAACAGCUCAAAUUUGAAAUCUGGCUCCUUCGGGGUCCGAGUUGUAAUUUGUAGAGGGUGUUUCGGGUGCGAUGCCGGUCUAAGUUCCUUGGAACAGGACGUCGUAGAGGGUGAGAAUCCCGUAUGCGACCGGCGAUCAAGCCCGUGCGAAGCCCCUUCGACGAGUCGAGUUGUUUGGGAAUGCAGCUCAAAAUGGGUGGUAAAUUUCAUCUAAAGCUAAAUACUGGCCAGAGACCGAUAGCGGACAAGUAGAGUGAUCGAAAGAUGAAAAGCACUUUGGAAAGAGAGUCAAACAGUACGUGAAAUUGUUGAAAGGGAAGCGCUUGCAAUCAGACCGGUCCGGAGGCGAUCAGCCGCUGCUCGUCAGCGGUGCACUCGCCUGCGAUCCGGCCAGCAUCGGUUUGGGCGGCGGGAUAAAAGUCCCGGGAAUGUAGCUUCCUCCGGGGAGUCUUAUAGCCCGGGUCGCAAUGCCGCCCGCCCGGACCGAGGACCGCGCUUCGGCUAGGAUGCUGGCGUAAUGGUUGCAAGCGACCCGUCUUGAAACACGGACCAAGGAGUCUAACAUCUAUGCGAGUGUUUGGGUGUCAAACCCAGGCGCGGAAUGAAAGUGAACGGAGGUGGGAACCCGUCAGACGGCGCACCAUCGACCGAUCCAGAUGUCUUCGGAUGGAUUUGAGUAUGAGCAUAGCUGUUGGGACCCGAAAGAUGGUGAACUAUGCCCGGAUAGGGUGAAGCCAGAGGAAACUCUGGUGGAGGCUCGCAGCGGUUCUGACGUGCAAAUCGAUCGUCAAAUCUAGGCAUAGGGGCGAAAGACCAAUCGAACCAUCUAGUAGCUGGUUCCUGUCGAAGUUUCCCUCAGGAUAGCAGUAACGUUUUCAGUUUUAUGAGGUAAAGCGAAUGAUUAGAGGCCUUGGGGCUGAAACAGCCUUAACCUAUUCUCAAACUUUAAAUAUGUAAGAAGUCCUUGUUACUUAGUUGAACGUGGACAUUUGAAUGUACCGUUACUAGUGGGCCAUUUUUGGUAAGCAGAACUGGCGAUGCGGGAUGAACCGAACGCGAGGUUAAGGUGCCGGAAUGCACGCUCAUCAGACACCACAAAAAGUGUCAAUUCAUCCAGACAGCCGGACGGUGGCCAUGGAAGUCGGAAUCCGCUAAGGAGUGUGUAACAACUCACCGGCCGAAUGAAUUGGCCUUGAAAAUGGAUGGCGCUCAAGCGUGCUACCCAUACCUCGCCGCCAGGGUAGAAACGAUGCCCU